ACUUUGCCUCUAGAGCUACAUCAGCUUGCUUUAUUCAUAUUUCCCUUUCCUUUUCGAUAAUGCGAGUUUACUUGUUUCAAGUAUCUGUCAACAUAAUAGUUUGUUAGAAUAGGAAAGGGAAUCUGGUUUGUAAGUAGUAUCCUACUUAAUAUUUUCUCCUAUAUUUCCUACAUAGUAUCAGAGUAUUUGUGGGAAAUUAAUUGUUGUGCAAAUUUCCAUGGAAGAGAAUCAGUCACUGCACAUUUUUUCAGGUGGCAAAACAGCUGUCUGCAUUAAAUUAAUAUUUGGUAGUGUUGUGUGAAUUCCAACACCACCAAUGGGUCCAGAAUACCUUUUCAGAUCUGUUGAAAAUAGGCAACACAUAGGCACUCAUGCACCGCCAAAAGUACCUUUCAUGCGAGCACGUCAGAUCCACGUGCUAGCGCGUGCUUAUUUGGUGAUCUUUUUUCCAGUGGGGUUGCUCCAUCAAUCCAAUCCUACCCAAUAUUCUGUAAUUUUGAUCACAGUCCAGCAAGAUCUAGGUUUUUGUCGACUUUAACACUGUCCCGACAAUUCCAGGCUACUUUAGGCCAUUUUUUCAAAGAAAUAUUCUACUGUCAGCAUCAUGAGGAGACUCUGAGCUGAUCCUUACCAUUCUCUUCAAGAUCCAGUCACUUCUUAUUUUUGGAGAAUUGGAAGCUUAAGUGCUAUGAUUCAUCCAAAAUCCUUAAUGAGGAAAUCAAAACGUAGAUCAUCAGAAUCCAUGAAGAAUUGAUGAAGAGGUCAUUUUGGAAGAUCUAGACCAAAGUGUAGUUAUUUUCAUAAGCUGGGACACACUCGUGAAGUAUGCUAUUCAUUGGAUCGUUGACCAUCCGAGAAUGCUCAUGUUGCUCAAGCGGACACUACAUGUCAUCAACGAGUUUAAUUAUCUGAAGAGGAAUAUAAUGAGUAUUUACACUAUUGAGAAAGUAAGCAGACAUCUCCACAAGUGGCCUCAAUCGCACUGUCUCACGGUCUUGGGACCUGAUUGUGGACUCUACUGCUUUUGAUCAUAUCUCCGAUGAUAAAUCACUUCGGUCAAAUAUUGUUUAUUCAGAGUUUAACGAAUGGGAUCCAAACCAAAGAAAAAGGAAUUGGGCUAGCUAAUCCCCUAUGCUCUGUCACUUUAAAUUCUGUUCAUUAUGUCCGUGGUUGUCCUUUUAAUCUUGUGCCAUAUUCUUUCUUUUGAGGACUCUUUUAUCAUAUAGGACUGCCGUAGGAGACAGACAAUUGGGGUAGAAUAUGAAUAACAAGGCCUCUAUAGCCUUACCUCUCCUAAUCCCACCCGAGCAUGUCCAAUUAUAGAUGCUCCACACUUAGAUCACAAAUGUUUGUGAUAUUCAAGUUUGUUGAAUGUACAAAAGAUGGUGCCUAGUUUGUCUUGCUUGUCCAUAUCAGAUUGUAAAUCGUGCAAACUUAGGAAACACACUCGCACUACCUUUCCAUGUAGUGUUGAGAGUUGUGUAGAGACUAUUUUUUCCUUAGUUCACUUUGAUCUUUGGGGUCAUAAUUCAUAGUAGAAUCAUCUCAACCUUAAGAUUUCGUUAUAUUGUAGCUUCAUUGAUGAUAAUUCAAGAGUUAUUGUGCUGAAAUACAAAUCAA